rnacentral:rRNA from 1 species
GAUGAACGCUAGCGGGAGGCUUAACACAUGCAAGUCGAGGGGCAGCAUAGGGUAGCAAUACUCUGAUGGCGACCGGCAAACGGGUGAGUAACGCGUAUGCAACCUACCCUGUACAGGGGGAUAACCCGGAGAAAUUCGGACUAAUAUCCCGUAAUAAUAUCCGGAGGCAUCUUUGGAUAUUUAAAGUUCCGACGGUACGGGAUGGGCAUGCGUAACAUUAACUGGUUGGUAAGGUAACGGCUUACCAAGGCUAUGAUGUUUGGGGGUCCUGAGAGGGUGGUCCCCCACACUGGUACUGAGACACGGACCAGACUCCUACGGGAGGCAGCAGUGAGGAAUAUUGGUCAAUGGGCGCAAGCCUGAACCAGCCAUCCCGCGUGCAGGAAGACGGCCCUAUGGGUUGUAAACUGCUUUUCCAGGGAGAGAAACUUACGCACGUGUUGCGUGACUGACGGUACCUGGGAAUAAGCAUCGGCUAACUCCGUGCCAGCAGCCGCGUAAUCA